rnacentral:misc_RNA from 1 species
CAGCCGCGGAAUUCCAGCUCCAAUAGCGUAUAUUAAAGUUGCUGCAGUUAAAAAGCUCGUAGUUGAAUUUCGGGACCAUCAUGUCGGUCGUGCCUCGGUACGUACUGGCAUUGUUGGUUUCUCCCUUCUGACGAACCAUGAUGUCAUUUCUUUGGUGUUGUGGGAAAUCAGGACUGUUACUUUGAAAAAAUUAGAGUGUUUAAAGCAGGCUCACGCUUGAAUACAUUAGCAUGGAAUAAUGAAAUAGGACGUUUGAUUCUAUUUUGUUGGUUUCUAGGAUCGACGUAAUGAUUAAUAGGGAUAGUUGGGGGAAUUAGUAUUCAAUUGUCAGAGGUGAAAUUCUUGGAUUUAUUGAAGACUAACUACUGCGAAAGCAUUUGCCAAGGAUGUUUUCAUUAAUCAAGAACGAAAGUUAGGGGAUCGAAGACGAUCAGAUACCGUCGUAGUCUUAACCAUAAACUAUGCCGACUAGGGAUCGGAUGAUGUUAAUUUUUUAAUGACUCAUUCGGCGCCUUACG